GGAGUUCCAGCAGAGCCCUGCCUUCACCUUGUCCACACGGGGAAGCAGACGGGAGAGAGAAAUGUUCCUGUACAGCCAGCAGUCACGUCAUUCCAUAUUCCUGAGUAAUACUAAAAUCAUGAGCCCUGUGAAGCCUCACACACCAUGGAGUAGAGACAAGCUUCUCUAAGUUUCUGGCCCACAGAAACCAUGGGCGUCAUGCAAGAGUUGUGUUACAAUACUGAGUUUGAGGUGGUUUGUUACACGAACAGAUAAGCAGAGAAGGGACAGAGUGUAUGGGUGUGCAGAUGAGAGAAGACCCAGAGGGCGGCAGGCAAGCUCCCCUGUCCCCGUUCCCCAAGAGCACGUAUACUUGUCCCUGCAUUGAGGUGUCGUGUUGGGAGCCAGGGGGGUCGAGAGGGAUGGGAGUGUAUUUGAGAAGAGAAACAUUCUUGGUGAUGAAUUCUGAGCAUGGAGCUUGACUAUCAUUUCAGAAAUGACUAUAAUGUAUGAAAGACAUUGAAACUGGAAGAUACUAGAAUAACUUAACAUUUUAAUCCACCCCCCAGCCAGCAAUCAAAUGGUGCCCUCCAGGUACGACAAGAAUCCAUUUGCAAAAGAGAGAGCGACACUGACAGCCCCAGUCAGCUUGUAGAACCAGGUUGAUGCUGAACACCUGUUCGAUGAUGGAAAGGCUGUUAAUUUCUAGACACUGGAUGUGUGGGAAGCAAGCUGACCGAAGUGUGAAUGCCAUUGGCCGUUUUCAUUAACACUGUACAUUUUUAUUCAUUAAAUCAUAUUGACAAUUAGUGAUUUAUGAUAAAUGAGUUAAAGCUCUGGUGCUUUCUGUAUUCCUGUGAUGUGAUUUGUUUCCUCCAUGUGUCAGGAUCCCAAGCAGGUGUCACACUAUUAAUUUAUCGGCUUUAUGAAGCCCUUCUGAGGUCCAUUUGCACCAACUAGAUCCCUGCUGUCGAGGCACUGGAAGCUCCUUGUCUCUGUGCACUCACAUCCUUCCAGCUAUGAAACGAGCAUGAUGUGAGCAAAGAAAAACUCCAUCAAGCACAAAUCAGCCAAGGAAAUCUGACUUAUUUGAGAACGCAGCAAAUUGACAUCUGGCCCAUGUGGGAGAAAGAUGGAAAAUAACUCAUAAGAAAAAGGAACAAGGCUAUUAUAAAUGGAAGAUGUGACCGGAUGAAGAAGAGAUGUCUUAUCGUGAGUGGUUUUGUGGUUGUCUUCAAGCCAGGAUGACUGUUCAUGUCAACAGGAACUGACAUAGUUGAUAUUUCACCAAGUUUCACCUUACAUCAGGCAGGUGAAAUUAAUAAAGGAUAUUCACAAAGACACAAAGCAAUGCUUUUCAAACAAUGAAGUAUAUGGAGAGAAGAACGGAUGCUCUGGUCACGAACUGUUGCUGUGCCAGGGAGAUGGGCUCGUCUCAGGUGCUGAACCAAAACACCUUUGCACACCAGCAACGCUAUGUCCGAAUAUUUAACAUACUGAGUUUGAAAUGUUCAGGAAAACACCCUGUUCUUCCCAUCGCCACACAGUGCACGUUAACAAGUGAGAGCGAGAGAGAUCACAGAAGGAGAAGCGACCCUCUGCUAGGUGGGGAGCCCAACACAGGCCUGGAUCCCAGGACCCUGAGACGUGGCUUGAGCAGAAGGCAGACGCUUAAAUGCCUGAGCUACUCAGAUGCCCCAGUGGGGAGGACUAUCUUGAGGAUGACAUGAGUUGAUAUACGUAAGGAGCUGUUUUCCGCGGUUCCUCCGAGCGGCCCGCAACCUGCCUUUCCUCCCACCCAACCCUCGGGCUUCGCGCUGCGCGCCCGGUGCUGGUGUCUUGGCGAACCUGACCAUGUGUGCGCGGA